AUUUAGAUUUGGAGGACACAGGGGUUGGAUGUGGGGACCCAAGGACUGGAUUUGGAUUUGGAGGACCAAGGGUUUGGAUUUGGAGGAACCCAGGGGUUGGAUUUGAAGAACACAGGGGUUGGAUGGACACAGGGGUUGGAUUUGGAUUUGAAUUUGGAUUUGGAGGACACAGGGGCUGGAUUUGGAUUUGGAUUUGGAGGACACAGGAAUUGGAUUUGGAUUCGGAUUUGGAUUUGGAGCACCCAAGGGUUGGAUUUGGAGGACACAGGAGCUGGAGCUGAGGGAUCCAGGGCUUGGAGGGACACAGGGAUUGGAUUUGGAUUUGAAUUUGGAUUUGGAGGACACAGGGGUUGGGAUUGGGUUUGGAUUUGGAGGACCCAGCCUUUAUUUCCCCCCUUUAUUCCCUUUAUUUCCUUCCUUUAUUUCCUCCUUUUAUUCCCUUUAUUUCCCCCCUUUACUUCCUUUAUUCCCCCCUUUAUUCCCUUUUAUUUCCCCCCUUUAUUCCCUUUAUUUCCUUCCUUUAUUUCCCCCCUUUAUUUUCCCCCUUUAUUCCCUUUAUUUCCCCCCUUUAUUCCCUUUAUUUCCUUUAUUUCCUCCCUUUAUUUCCUCCCUUUAUUCCCUUUAUUUCCCCCCUUUAUUUCCUCCCUUUAUUUCCCCCCUUUAUUUCCUGCCUUUAUUCCCUUUAUUUUCCCCCUUUAUUCCCUUUAUUUCCCCCCUUUAUUCCCUUUAUUUCCCCCUUUAUUUCCCCCCUUUAUUCCCUUUAUUUCCUUCAUUUAUUUCCUCCCUUUAUUUCCUUUAUUUCCCCCCUUUAUUUCCCCCUUUUAUUCCCUUUAUUCCCUUUAUUUCCCCCCUUUAUUUCCUCCCUUUAUUUCCUUUAUUUCCCCCCUUUAUUUCCUCCCUUUAUUUCCACAUCACUCUUGUCAUUAUUUGCUGCUUCUGGAGGGCUUUGCUUUCAUUUCCCUUCAGCAUUUUCUUAUAGAAAAUAAAGAAGAAAAAUCUUCUUCAUUUUAGGGUUAAAAAAAACAAAAAAAGGUUUUCUUUGGUUCCUUUAGAAAAACCAUUUGGGUUUUCUUUAACCCAAAACCUGGGUUCAGUUCCCAUCAGAAAAAGCUCCUGAGGUUUGGUCCAAAAUCCUCCNGUUUAUUCACUCCAUCAAUCACUUUUUAUAACCGUGUUAAUUAAGUUCAUGCAUAUUGCAAUGAACUUAA
rnacentral:lncRNA from 1 species